AUUGAACGCUGGCGGCAGGCCUAACACAUGCAAGUCGAACGGUAACAGGAAGCAGCUUGCUGCUUCGCUGACGAGUGGCGGACGGGUGAGUAAUGUCUGGGAAGCUGCCUGAUGGAGGGGGAUAACUACUGGAAACGGUAGCUAAUACCGCAUAAUGUCGCAAGACCAAAGAGGGGGACCUUCGGGCCUCUUGCCAUCGGAUGUGCCCAGAUGGGAUUAGCUUGUUGGUGGGGUAACGGCUCACCAAGGCGACGAUCCCUAGCUGGUCUGAGAGGAUGACCAGCCACACUGGAACUGAGACACGGUCCAGACUCCUACGGGAGGCAGCAGUGGGGAAUAUUGCACAAUGGGCGCAAGCCUGAUGCAGCCAUGCCGCGUGUAUGAAGAAGGCCUUCGGGUUGUAAAGUACUUUCAGCGGGGAGGAAGGGAGUAAAGUUAAUACCUUUGCUCAUUGACGUUACCCGCAGAAGAAGCACCGGCUAACUCCGUGCCAGCAGCCGCGGUAAUACGGAGGGUGCAAGCGUUAAUCGGAAUUACUGGGCGUAAAGCGCACGCAGGCGGUUUGUUAAGUCAGAUGUGAAAUCCCCGGGCUCAACCUGGGAACUGCAUCUGAUACUGGCAAGCUUGAGUCUCGUAGAGGGGGGUAGAAUUCCAGGUGUAGCGGUGAAAUGCGUAGAGAUCUGGAGGGAUACCGGUGGCGAAGGCGGCCCCCUGGACGAAGACUGACGCUCAGGUGCGAAAGCGUGGGGAGCAAACAGGAUUAGAUACCCUGGUAGUCCACGCCGUAAACGAUGUCGACUUGGAGGUUGUGCCCUUGAGGCGUGGCUUCCGGAGCUAACGCGUUAAGUCGACCGCCUGGGGAGUACGGCCGCAAGGUUAAAACUCAAAUGAAUUGACGGGGGCCCGCACAAGCGGUGGAGCAUGUGGUUUAAUUCGAUGCAACGCGAAGAACCUUACCUGGUCUUGACAUCCACGGAAGUUUUCAGAGAUGAGAAUGUGCCUUCGGGAACCGUGAGACAGGUGCUGCAUGGCUGUCGUCAGCUCGUGUUGUGAAAUGUUGGGUUAAGUCCCGCAACGAGCGCAACCCUUAUCCUUUGUUGCCAGCGGUCCGGCCGGGAACUCAAAGGAGACUGCCAGUGAUAAACUGGAGGAAGGUGGGGAUGACGUCAAGUCAUCAUGGCCCUUACGACCAGGGCUACACACGUGCUACAAUGGCGCAUACAAAGAGAAGCGACCUCGCGAGAGCAAGCGGACCUCAUAAAGUGCGUCGUAGUCCGGAUUGGAGUCUGCAACUCGACUCCAUGAAGUCGGAAUCGCUAGUAAUCGUGGAUCAGAAUGCCACGGUGAAUACGUUCCCGGGCCU
rnacentral:rRNA from 1 species